UACAGAGGUCUCAAGCGUUGUUCGGAUUCAUUGGGCGUAAAGGGUGUGUAGGUGGCGCCGUAAGUCGGGUGUGAAAUUUCGAGGCUUAACCUCGAAACUGCAUUCGAUACUGUGGUGCUUGAGGACUGGAGAGGAGACUGGAAUUCAUGGUGUAGCAGUGAAAUGCGUAGAUAUCAUGAGGAAGACCAGUGGCGAAGGCGGGUCUCUGGACAGUUCCUGACACUGAGAUACGAAGGCCAGGGGAGCAAACGGG
rnacentral:rRNA from 1 species